AACGCACCUUGCCGCUCCUUGGUAUUCCGAGGAGCAUGCCUGUUCGAGUGUCGUUAAAUUUCUCAACCUUUACUUUUGUUAGUAUUGGCUUGGAUGAUGGGGGUGCUUUUUGCUGGCUUCUACAAGAGGUCUGCUCCCCUUAAAGGUAUUAGCUGGGUACCCCUAGUGGAACCAUCUAUUGGUGUGAUAAUUAUCUACAUCGUUUGAUGUUCUGCUCAUAAGAAAUGGUGGUACUUGCUUCUAAUAGUCCUCUUAGGACAAAGUUAACGAUCAUUUGACCUCGAAUCAGGUAGGACUACCCGCUGAACUUAA
rnacentral:misc_RNA from 1 species